CGUGCUUCAUUUUUCUUUUCUUCUUUUUGCUUGCUUUCGCUUGUGCGGCUUGUGUUUCGAAGAGUAUUGUUCAGCUUUGUUUUGUUUCGUUCGUUCGGCUUUGUACUUCGUUCGCUUCGUGCUUAAUUUCACUUGUUCGUUUUUGUGCUUCGUUUCGCUCUGUUCAUCUUAGGUUGAGAUCAAGACUCUUGAGGAAGUGGAAGAACAGUUACAUUAUUCAUUCCAAACAAAGACUUCUUUGACUCGAAUUAUGUUAGACAAUAUGGUUGGACAUAUCCAUGCUUAAAGAAGCUUAAAGAAGUUGUGCAGUUGAUCAAUGGGAGAUAUGAGACUGAGGCAUUAGGCAAUGUCACACUAGAUACUAUACAUAAAAUCGGGCAAAGUGGUGUGACCUACAUUUCUAGGUGUUUUCUGAUUUGGAACAUUCAGUAUGUAAAAUGGUCCACCGACAGGCUGCCACAAUUGCUUGGUUGGAAGAUUCUGUUUGUGGUAGCCACUCUGUCGCUUGCCUUAUCUUUUCCGCCUAAACCAAUACCUCUUAUGACAAUUUGAAAGAUGUAAUUCAAGAGAUGAAGUCACUCAAACUUGAAAAGCUUAAGAAGCCCGUGACUUAGGGACAAUUCUUGUUUUUUAAUUAGGUUAUGACCCUCCUUUUAAUUCUCAAAUAGUUUGUAUUUAACUGUAAGUUACAAAAAUACUAAUGAUUAAGUUUCAGUAUUUGCUUUGG